rnacentral:rRNA from 1 species
AUAUCAAUAAGCGGAGGAAAAGAAACUAACAAGGAUUCCCCUAGUAACUGCGAGUGAAGCGGGAAAAGCUCAAAUUUAAAAUCUGGCGGUUUCACUGCCCGAGUUGUAAUUUAGAGAAGCGUUAUCCGCGCUGGACCGAGUACAAGUCUCUUGGAAUAGAGCGUCAUAGAGGGUGAGAAUCCCGUCUUUGACUCGGACUACCAGGCAUUGUGAUGCGCUCUCGAAGAGUCGAGUUGUUUGGGAAUGCAGCUCAAAAUGGGUGGUAAAUUCCAUCUAAAGCUAAAUAUUGGGGAGAGACCGAUAGCGCACAAGUA